rnacentral:rRNA from 1 species
CAGUCGCCGCGGUAAUACGUAGGGCGCAAGCGUUGUCCGGAAUUAUUGGGCGUAAAGAGCUCGUAGGCGGUCUGUCGCGUCUGGUGUGAAAUCCCGAGGCUCAACCUCGGGCUUGCAUCGGGUACGGGCAGACUAGAGUGCGGUAGGGGAGACUGGAAUUCCUGGUGUAGCGGUGGAAUGCGCAGAUAUCAGGAGGAACACCGAUGGCGAAGGCAGGUCUCUGGGCCGCAACUGACGCUGAGGAGCGAAAGCAUGGGGAGCGAACAGGAUUAGAGACCCCGGUAGUCCUGUCUCUUAACAA